CUCACCAAGGCGACGAUCCCUAGCUGGUCUGAGAGGAUGACCAGCCACACUGGAACUGAGACACGGUCCAGACUCCUACGGGAGGCAGCAUG
rnacentral:rRNA from 1 species